AACGGCGAGUGAAGAGGAAAGAGCUCAAAGUUGGAACCUGUUUGGCCUAGCUAAACCGGAUUGUAGACUGUAGAAGUGUUUUCCAGGCAAGCCGAGUAAAUAAGUCCUUUGGAACAGGGCAUCAUAGAGGGUGAGAAUCCCGUCUUUGGCUUGAGCAUUUGCCUUUUGUGAUACGCUUUCAAAGAGUCAGGUUGUUUGGGAAUGCAGCCUAAAUUGGGUGGUAAAUCUCACCUAAAGCUAAAUAUUGGCGAGAAACCGAUAGCGAACAAGUACCGUGAGGGAAAGAUGAAAAGAACUUUGAAAAGAGAGUUAAACAGUAUGUGAAAUUGUUAAAAGGGAACCGUUUGGAGCCAGACUGGCUUGUCUGUAAUCAAUCUAGGCUUCGGCCUGGAUGCACUUGCAGGCUAUGCCUGCCAACGACAAUUUGACUUGAGGGAAAAAACUAGGGGAAAUGUGGCCCACUUGUGGGUGUUAUAGUCCCUUAGAAAAUACCUUGGGUUGGAUUGAGGAACGCAGCGAAUGCUUAUUGGCGAGUUUUCCAGGAAGGUUUUCUGAGGUACUACGGUAUCAAGGUUGAUCUUUUUGGUUAUACUUCUAUUCGCUUAGGUUGUUGGCUUAAUGACUCUAAAUGACCCGUCUUGAAACACGGACCAAGGAGUCCACCAUUAGUGCGAGUAUUUGGGUGCCAAACCCAUAUGCGUAAGGAAACUGAUUGAUACGAAUCCAUUAAGGAGGCAGUAUCGUCCGGCGCUGACGUUUUAUACUGAAUUGACCGAGACAAAGCACUAAUGAUGGGACCCGAAAGAUGGUGAACUAUGCCUGAAUAGGGUGAAGCCAGAGGAAACUCUGGUGGAGGCUCGUACCGAUUCUGACGUGCAAAUCGAUCGUCAAAUUU
rnacentral:rRNA from 2 species